rnacentral:rRNA from 1 species
CAGCGUAGGGCGCAAGCGUUGUCCGGAAUUAUUGGGCGUAAAGAGCUCGUAGGCGGUCUGUUGCGUCCCGCUGUGAAAACUCGGGGCUUAACCCCGAGCCUGCAGUGGAUACGGGCAGACUAGAGGUAGGUAGGGGAGAAUGGAAUUCCCGGUGUAGCGGUGAAAUGCGCAGAUAUCGGGAGGAACACCGGUGGCGAAGGCGGUUCUCUGGGCCUUACCUGACGCUGAGGAGACGAAAGCGUGGGGAGCAAACA